UCCGAGGAAUGGCCCGGCUCAAGUGUGAUACAAAUAACCUCUGAUGGCGUAUAACUGAUGUUUAGACUAGUAUUGUUUUGAGUGAGGAGACUAAUGGGUGUGCUCGACAUAUUUCUUGCGUUUUCAACUCAAUAUACGCAAGGGCAGUGCUGGGAGCUGUACGGAGGGAUUUUUGAAAGAAAAAGAAAGAUUUAUUACCUCCGGACACCACAUACACAGACAGACAGUGAUAACCCUGUUCGGAGAACGCGUGACUUAAUCGUAGUGUCCUUAGUUCGUUUCCCAGUUCGGUUUCUAAACCAUUGAAUUGGGCUUCAUGAGUUUGAACUCAUGUUUGAAUCAUUGAUUGGUAUUACGAGGUUUCCAGGAAUCGUGUCCGGUUAAUGGCAAUGGGCUCGCUCCAUAUUACAUGGGACUUCAAUAUAGCUGGCAAGGAUGUACACCUUUGUCUACCCCUUCGGAGAUACAGAUGUAAAUGCUGUUGUUGAGUUUUUAUCCGUUCAAAUAAAUCCGUCGCUGCUCGGUACCGUUUUAUAGGAAUUUCCGCUUGCCGCUUCGGAACGUCCCCGGAAUCUGUGUGUAUGCAGCUUAACACCGUUGAGAAAACGGCGCACGAGGCAUCUGGAUAUUUUGUAAUCAUUCGAAGCCGUCGUGUCGCUGAGUCAAAAUAUUGGUAUUAUAUUGCAAGUAACUGUGUGUGUUUCGGGUGCUUUCUACUAGUUUCUGAAUGCGUCAUAGCUAGAUAUUUUACUUAGACUCCUUGCCACGAAGUCCGUGGCUUGCAAUGGAGCUAAAAGACAAUUCAUAAUAAUGCUAUGGCGAUACUGUGACGUCACGUGAGUUCUUUCUUGGCGGAGACCUAUACUUACAUAUAAAUCCUGCCACAAUGUAGGUAUGGGGCAUUGGUGUCAAUUCUGGGAAAUACUUCAUAAAUGCAGUACCUGUUUGUCAAAAUCGGUAACACUAUUUAGUUAUUUUGAUUUCCCUAUAGUUCCCUAUGAACUGAAAUCGUAACAUAUAGUUACUUUCGUAUUUAUAAUAUGGAUUUUGAUUGUGUUAAGGUCAAGUGUAGGUUGAUUUAUAGCUGAUGUAUUAAAUGUCACUAAAAAACUUUUCUAUCACAUUUCGAAGUCCAUCUUCUACAUCUCCGGUUGAUUAAGAGGAGGCCAGUGCCUGGCAGUGGGACGUGUCUAGUUAUUAAAUAACUUGUAAUGUACGUAUACCUACGAUAAUGUAAAAGAUGUGUUGCUGUUGCAGUUUCUGUCAUUUCUUCUCCUCAGCCAUAACAGCGAGCUUCAACAAGUUUUUCUAUGAUUUUUCGUGGAAUAAAUGAUUAUGAUUUCUGUUAUAUUUAUAAUUAUAUAAGAAUAAAACACAAAAUAUAAACAAAAUA